AGCAGCCGCGGUAAUUCCAGCUCCAAUAGCGUAUAUUAAAGUUGUUGCAGUUAAAAAGCUCGUAGUUGAAUUUCGGGAUUGACACAUCGGUCGUGCCUUAAGGGGUAUGAACUGGUGUAGUCAGUUUCUCACCUUCUGGAGAACCGCGAUGUCCUUAAUUAGGUGCCGCGAGGAACCAGGACCUUUACUUUGAAAAAAUUAGAGUGUUUAAAGCAGGCUCGCGCUUGAAUACAUUAGCAUGGAAUAAUGAAAUAGGACGUUUGAUUCUAUUUUGUUGGUUUCUAGGAUCGACGUAAUGAUUAAUAGGGAUAGUUGGGGGCAUUAGUAUUCAAUUGUCAGAGGUGAAAUUCUUGGAUUUAUUGAAGACUAACUACUGCGAAAGCAUUUGCCAAGGAUGUUUUCAUUAAUCAAGAACGAAAGUUAGGGGAUCGAAGACGAUCAGAUACCGUCGUAGUCUUAACCAUAAACUAUGCCGACUAGGGAUCGGAUGAUGUUAUUUUUAAUGAC
rnacentral:rRNA from 1 species